CCUAGGGUUGAUGAGGGAGAAAGCUAAACAGCCCUCAGAAAGACCUGGCACAGAGUAGGUUGCUGAAGAGAGAUCACUAGAAGACUUCUUACUCAAAGCCAGAUGGUGAACAUGAGACAGGGUGAGAGCUAAUGCCACUCAGGGGGAAGCCAAUAAGCUAAUCUGCUGACAUGUUCCUUGAAGCAAGCUGAUGACUUGGCUCAGAGACUUGUCUGUCCCUGGCUUUGAGCUUCAGAGCCCACAGGCCACUCAUGGGUGGCCUGAGAAUAGACAGCCACUAGGAACAACCUCAAGUACUCAUAUCUUUCACACAGCAAAUAGUGCAGAACACCAAGUCCAGGUCCUCCAUUCUGCCAAGCAGUAACCCCACUUGAAAAUUCCGUCCCAAAUUCUCUCCCCAGCAGCCUGGGCCUCCCUGCUCUUCCUGGGCCAUCUGUUGAGAGUACAUAACCAUAUCUACAUAUAGCCCUCUCAGUGGAAUCUUAGCCCUAGUUUGUGUGUGACAUACAAAAGUUCUUAUAAUAAUGGGGAGAACUCCCUAAAUGAUCAUCUGCUAGUUUUGCUCAUUUUAUAUUUGAUCACUUUGCAAACACACACCCUUCCUUGAAUGGGAUACAGAUAACACUGGGCCUAAGCAAAGGUCAUUAAUAGCAUUUAAUACCCAAUAUCAUAUUAUCAGGCUCCACACCAGUGCUGACCUCUAGAAUAAGAGCUGGAACACUGAGGUUCUAACCCCAGGUAAAUUAUACAUUAGUUUGUGGGAAUCUGGGCCAAAUCACCUCUGAAUUUCCCAAUUGGGAAAAUACUACCUGUCCUGCCUUCCUCACAUAGGUGUGGUGACAUCAAGUAGGUGAUAGAUGAUAGCCUCUGAAUAUGAUAAAUC
rnacentral:lncRNA from 1 species